rnacentral:rRNA from 1 species
CUCGUAGGCGGUUUGGUAAGUUGGGUGUGAAAACUCAGGGCUCAACCCUGAGACGCCACUCGAUACUGCCAUGACUAGAGUCCGGUAGAGGAGCACGGAAUUCCUGGUGUAGCGGUGAAAUGCGCAGAUAUCAGGAGGAACACCAGUAGCGAAGGCGGUGCUCUGGGCCGGUACUGACGCUGAGGAGCGAAAGCGUGGGGAGCGAACA